GUGCUCACUUCAACAGCGUGUGUAGUAAAAUCAGGCCAAUAUGGAGACGAUCAGCAUCGACCAUGCACAAUGACGACGUACAAAUUCAGGAAACGUUUGGUGUUUUU
ensembl:snRNA U6 U6 spliceosomal RNA